rnacentral:pre_miRNA from 1 species
AUACUACUCCCUCCGUUCCAAAUUACUCGUUGCAAAAAUGGAUGUAUCUAGAACUAAAAUACAUAUAGAUACAUCCAUACCUGCGACAAAUAAUUCAGGACGGAGGGAGUAAAAC